rnacentral:rRNA from 1 species
UACGUAGGGUGCAAGCGUUGUCCGGAAUUAUUGGGCGUAAAGAGCUCGUAGGCGGUCUGUCGCGUCUGCUGUGAAAACUCGGAGCUCAACUCCGAGCCUGCGUUCGAUACUGGAUGGCUAGAGUCUGGUAGGGGGAUCUGGAAUUCCUGGUGUAGCGGUGGAAUGCGCAGAUAUCAGGAGGAACACCGGUGGCGAAGGCGGGAUCCUGGGCCAGUACUGACGCUGAGGAGCGAAAGCGUGGGGAGCAAACAGG